AGCAGUAGCCGCGGGAAUGCGUAGGUGGCAAGCGUUGUCCGGAAUUAUUGGGCGUAAAGGGCUCGCAGGCGGUUUCUUAAGUCUGAUGUGAAAGCCCCCGGCUCAACCGGGGAGGGUCAUUGGAAACUGGGAAACUUGAGUGCAGAAGAGGAGAGUGGAAUUCCACGUGUAGUGGUGAAAUGCGUAGAGAUGUGGAGGAACACCAGUGGCGAAGGCGACUCUCUGGUCUGUAACUGACGCUGAGGAGCGAAAGCGUGGGGAGCGAACAGGAUUAGAUACCCCAGUAGUCCCUGUCUCUUAUAC
rnacentral:rRNA from 1 species